rnacentral:rRNA from 1 species
ACGCUUUCGGGUGCCGCCUCCGGUGCAAGUCCCCCUGACCGGGGCUCCCACCCCGAGAGGGUGCAAGGCCCGUAGCGGCCGGAAGGCGGUCCCGGAUGUCCUCUCCCGGGAGUCGGGUUGCUUGAGAGUGCAGCCCCAAUCAGGUGGUAAACUCCAUCUAAGGCUAAAUACGACCUGGAGACCGAUAGCGAACAAGUACCGUGAGGGAAAGUUGAAAAGGACUUUGAAGAGAGAGUUCAAGAGUACGUGAAACCGUUCGGAGGUAAACGAGUGGGCCCUCGAAGUGUGAAGGCGGGGGGACUCAGCCGAACGCCGUCGAGCCCGCGGGCGGGUCCGCGCUUCCCUCCCGGGACGCGGCCCGCCCGUGUGCUGGCUCCGGUUUGCGGCGCAUUUCCUCCCGUCCUCCGACGCCGCGACCGGUCGGGCGCGCCACGAGCAGUCGGCCUUACUCGCGGGAGACGGAAGGUAGCCGGGUCGGCGCGCACGCGCCGCUCCCCGGUGUUUAGCCGUCCCGCAAUCGAGUCAGCCGUUCGCCCGACCGCAGGACCCAAGGCCCUCAGGGGCCCCGCCGUGCCCUCCCCCGUUUUCGGGGGAUCGCUUCCCGCCUCGGAAGGGAUGCCGCUCUGUCCCCGCGCCGCACCUCCGGUGCGCGCGGGGCGGCGGCGCCCGCUGGCCGGGGCGGUCGCGAUU